rnacentral:lncRNA from 1 species
GGUGCUGGGGCGGGCGCAGGACUGCAGGCUGGGGCUCCGCUCCCCGGCGGGAGCCCGCGCGUGGUUCCCAGCGAAGUCCCCGCGCGGCUGGGCCCAGCGUGAGUAUUCUCCGCCCGCUGUCCUCCCCCUGGAGGCGGCAGCGCCCGUUUAUUUGAGCCGUGUGAAGAUGUGCCUGCUUCGCCUUCCAUCAUGACUGAAGUUUCCUGAGGCCUCCCCAGCUAUGCUCCCUAUACAGCCUGCAGAACGGUCGGCUGCCUCCAAUCCUGAGGUCAUCACUCAUCAAGAGGGGAUAAUCCCAGGGACAGCAGGAUCUGCUUCGUUACUUGGAUUUAGGAGCCAGAAACCCAUCAGGCAACUAAACAGUAACAAUGACCCGCCAUUAAACACACUGAGAGAAGAGCAUGAUGAAGAGUUUGUACAAGAAGAAGCCAGGAGCACUUGCUGACAAUGCUUACAGAGACGCAGGCUUCUAUGAGCUCUGCCUGUUGAACUGCAGUAAAAAUAGAUCUCCUUCCCCAGAGAGGCUUGGAUGUGGGCACAAUAUCAGUUCAGACGAUGGUCAAUGCAUGUACUUAAUAGAGUGAAAAGACUUUGGACUGUGAAGUCAGAUUACCUGGGUCUGAAUUGUUAUUCUUCUACUUCUUUGUAGUAUGCUUUCACCACAUUAAAAAUUGUCUGAGCCUCAA